AGCCACAGGAGCCACAGGAGCCACAGACACAGCUACAGGGGCCAUGGAAACAGGCGGGGGUGCCAUCCCCUGGGCGAUGGUCUGAGCCAAAGCAGCUGACAGUGGUGUGAUCUCUGGGUUCAGGUGCCGAAACUUGCACUUGGUUCCUCUCUGACAGUCACCUUUGAGGAAGUCUCGGCAGAUAGGGACCUCCUCCUUACCAUUGGGUAGGUCAGCAGAUUUCGCCAAAAUGACUAACGGGAUUGGAAGACAGAUACACGGGAAUAUGCAAGAUGGAAAGAGUAGCCUCAGAAUAAAAGAAACAUGUGAAAAGAAACAAGCCAUUACUAAAAGAUAAUAAAUGAUGACCAGGUGAAGACUUAAGUGCCUUCAAAGCCUGAUCCAGUCCCACCAGAAGCAGA